rnacentral:tRNA from 1 species
GGGGAUUUAGCUCAGCGGCAUAAGCGCCUGCCUUGCAAGCAGGAGGUCAUGAGUUCGAUCCCCG